rnacentral:lncRNA from 1 species
ACCACACUGUAGUCAGGAAGCAGGGAGAUGAAUGGCUACUCUCGGCUCAUUUCCUAUUUCUUAUGCAGUCCAGGGCAUGUGAAUUCCUAGUGUUUUAAGUAUUGUCUUAUUUAACCUGACAAAUUUUCUUCUUUUUCCUUUUAGUCCUCUCAUACUGCUCACAGUCUCCCCUUCCUGCAUUCCCUCCAGUCUCUCCCACCUCCCCCUCCCCCCAUUCCCUGCUCUUCCUUUUCCCUCCAGAAAAAAGCAGGCUUCUGAGGGCUAGCAACUGAACACAGCAUAGCAAGAUGUAACAAGACUAGACACAAACCCUCACAUCAAGACUAAAGAGGAAACCCAGAGGAAAAGGGUCCCAAGAGCAGGCAAAAGAGUCAGACACCCCCACCCCCACUGUUAGGAGCCUCUCAAAAACCCCAAGCUAAACAACCCCAGCAUGCAGUGUAGACCCAUGCAGGCUCUGUGAUUGCCACUUCAAGCUCUGUGAGCCGCUAUGAGCCCUGCUUAGUUGAUUCUGUGGGCUGUGUUUUAGAGUCCUCUCUACAGAACACAAAAUAAAAGCACAAAAGGAUAUAUGAACCAAAGCAGUGUAGCACUGUUAGUACAUGAAAAAUGAAAAGAGAAUUUCCAAGUAUCUACCAGGAAAAUAGACAUUUAAUCAAUGGCAAAUCCAUACUGUUUUAUAUAUGAGAAUUGUGUGUGUGUGUGUGUGCGCGCGCGCGCGCGUGCGUGCGUGUGGGUGUGUGUGGGUGUAAUAUAUAUCUCCUCACUUUGGCAAGAAAGGCAGAAAUAUAUAAUUUCUAUAAAUCUGUAUGAACAUGGUAAAACAUAAAAGUAUAAAAUGGUUGGGUGACCACAACUAAUUUUUAUAUGGCCUCAUUCACUUUUCACGUUUAUUCUGCAUAUUCAUGGAGUGUGCAUAAUGAAAUACACAGAGGAAAAAGAAUACAAAACAUCAAAGCCCUCCGGCUUUAGCAAUGAGACAGCUUUGUUUACCUCACUUAGACAAAAAGAGGCUGGAGACAGGGGAGUCCGAGGCACUGGCAGUGGAAAAAAACCAUGAGAUCAUCAUCACACCCUCCCCAGAACUGGUCUCAAGAGAAGUCACCGAAACGCAGAGAAAACUUCACUGGUAAUUAAUACAUAGGGUUCUCUGUGCCCCUGGGGACAGAAUGAAACACCAUCUAAAUUAGUGCAUCAGCCCACGAAGACACUGGAGGGAUAUUUGUGUGCUGAACUUUCAUUUUCUGAGGCAGUCUUCUGCAGCUGCCAGGAUGGCUUUAGAUACACUAUGUAGUUGAAGAUGAGUUCGCAAUUUCGACCUUCCACUUCUUAUAUAGAGCUGCUGAUUAGACUCAUGACUUGGUGAAUGCUAGGCAGACACUCUUCAAAAGCUACACUCCCCAGCCCUGUGAGCUGAACUAGUUUUUGCAUUUUUUUUUUGUUUUUUUUUUGUUUGUUUUGUUUUUCGAGACAGGGUUUCUCUGUGUAGCCCUGGCUGUCCUGGAACUCACUUUGUAGACCAGGCUGGCCUCAAACUCAGAAAUCCACCUGCCUCUGCCUCCCGAGUGCUGGGAUUAAAGGCGAGCGCCACCACAGCUUGGCUUAGUUUUUGCAUUUUUAUUU